rnacentral:rRNA from 1 species
CCUACGGGAGGCAGCAGUAGGGAAUCUUCCACAAUGGGCGAAAGCCUGAUGGAGCAACGCCGCGUGGGUGAAGAAGGUCUUCGGAUCGUAAAACCCUGUUGUUAGAGAAGUAAGCGCGUGAGAGUAACUGUUCACGUUUCGACGGUACCUAACCAGAAAGCCACGGCUAACUACGUGCCAGCAGCUGCGGUAAUACGUAGGUGGCAAGCGUUAUCCGGAUUUAUUGGGCGUAAAGGGAACGCAGGCGGUCUUUUAAGUCUGAUGUGAAAGCCUUCGGCUUAACCGGGGUAGUGCAUUGAAAACUGGGAGACUUGAGAACAGAAGCGGAAGGUGGAACGCAAUGUGUAGCGGUGAAAUGCGUAGAUAUAUGAAAGAACACCAGUGGCGAAAGCAGCUCACUGGUCUGUAACUGACGCUGAGGUUCGAAAGCGUGGGUAGCAAACAGGAUUAGAUACCCCUGUAGUC